rnacentral:rRNA from 1 species
GCGCAGCAGUCGCGAAACCUCCGCAAUGCGGGAAACCGUGACGGGGUCACCCCGAGUGCCACCCGAUGAGGGUGGCUUUUCCCCGGUCUAAAAAGCCGGGGGCAAUAAGCGGGGGGCAAGUCUGGUGUCAGCCGCCGCGGUAAUACCAGCCCCGCGAGUGGUCGGGACGUUUAUUGGGCCUAAAGCGUCCGUAGCCGGCUCGGUAAGUCCCUCCUUAAAUCCACGGGCUCAACCCGUGGGCUGGGAGGGAUACUGCCGGGCUAGGGGGCGGGAGAGGCCGAGGGUACUCCCGGGGUAGGGGCGAAAUCCGUUAAUCCCGGGAGGACCACCAGUGGCGAAGGCGCUCGGCUGGAACGCGCCCGACGGUGAGGGACGAAAGCUGGGGGAGCAGAGGGGAUUAGAUACCCCGGUAGUCCCUGAAACUGCCAAGGCACACA